rnacentral:rRNA from 1 species
CCUACGGGUGGCACCAGUGGGGAAUAUAGCACAAUGGGCGCAAGCCUGAUGCAGCCAUGCCGCGUGUAUGAAGAAGGCCUUCGGGUUGUAAAGUACUUUCAGCGGGGAGGAAGGUGUUGUGGUUAAUAAUCACAGCAAUUGACGUUACCCGCAGAAGAUGCACCGGCUAACUCCGAGCCAGCAGCCGCGGUAAUACGGAGGGUGCAAGCGUUAAUCGGAAUUACUGGGCGUGAAGCGCACGCAGGCGGUCUGUCAAGUCGGAUGUGAAAUCCCCGGGCUCAACCUGGGAACUGCAUUCGAAACUGGCAGGCUAGAGUCUUGUAGAGGGGGGUAGAAUUCCAGGUGUAGCGGUGAAAUGCGUAGAGAUCUGAAGGAAUACCAGUGGCGAAGGCGGCCCCCUGGACAAAGACUGACGCUCAGAUGCGAAAGCGUGGGGAGCAAACAGGAUUAGAUACCCCAGUAGUC